rnacentral:lncRNA from 1 species
GCCAUCCGUCAGAACUCAUAAGAUAUAUAUAUAUUUAUUUCAUGGCCAAUUUGGCAACAUCCCUCAAUUAGCCUUUAUGCUAAUAAGCUCAUUUAACGUCAUUUUCACUUUCGUGCUUCAUAAUUCACGUUGUUUGAAAAAUUGCAGGUGCAUUUCCAAAUGGAAAUUAUUUUAAUAAGCAAAAAAAAAGAAAGAAAAAACCACCUAGGUAUGCUGCUUUCCUUGUAGUUGUUUACAGUUUUCCCUUUCCUUGGUAUCAUGCUUGGCAUGAAGGGUGGCAAGGUAGCCUAUACGGUCGGUCACAGCUGACCUCACUGAUAAUGCAAAAGUUUAUGUGAAACCUCGGGCCACUUUCAUCGCCUGUUCGUAAUUUCGUUUUUGAAAUCAAUUCGUUUCACUGGAGCUGCUGUUGAUAAGUGGAUAAGAUCUUUUCUAUACAACAUGACAGUUACGUACGAAGCAGAAAUGGUAAUUAAUCAAUGCCAGCUGUUAUACAAUCGAAGAAUAUUGAUCAGAUGAAACAAAAUCUCCACAUUUGCUAAGAAACCUAGUAUUAAUCUUUCCUCGUAAUAUUCAGGUCCAAUGAGUAGGUACAGCAUCGCUCUUGUCCAUUGUGGUAAUUUUCUUUUCCAUACAACUGCCAUUCUAACGUAGCAAGGUGAAGAGAAAACAAUCUUUUUACCUUGUUUCUUGAUUUUCUUUAAAUUGGCUAACCUUCUGUAGAAAGAACAAAUUAAGAAAGGGGAACCAAAAGUUGGGCAAGGUUAAUAGAAUGAUGAAAUUAUUUUUGACCAAUAAUUUGGAAUGUCGAUUGUUGGUUUCCAUUGUUUCCUUUUGGUACACAUCCAUCACUCCCGAAGACUCGUGGACAUUCCACGCGAAGGUGUUACAAGCCCGUGAGACUUCCCCAAAAGGAUUCGUACUUUUUCAUGGUUGGAAUUUUAUGUCAGCAUGUUAAAUUCAAAAGAAGCCUCUAUCAGAAUUUAUUGCUUUUCUCCUCAAAAUCCAUGAAACAUGUAUCAAUGCUCCAUUGGUAUUGCGACAAGCGAUGGGUAAAAAGGAAGGUCAAGACACGCAUCAUUGAACUGGUCAAUUUGGAAAAAAAAUGACUGCCUGUAAAAAUGUUGUCGCCAUCAUUAGCUACUUGAUUCCAUAUGAAGGCUGCGGCCUAUAUUUUGACCAUAGCCUUCCUGGAUCAAGGGAAGGUGUCCGGCUUGCAGGAACAUCAAACGUGUUUUGACGCAGCAUAAUAAUCAAAGUUCUAAUCGUGCUGAUGGUCCAAUUUUUCACGAUAACUAAGAAAUCAAUGUGGAAGCGUGAAAUUAGUUAUAUGGAUAGUCAACUUCAACGCUUUUCGCUGCUCCGUCCCGAAGAUAAAAUAUUAAAAUUUUUAUAAAUUGAA